rnacentral:misc_RNA from 1 species
UUUCCGUAGGUGAACCUGCGGAAGGAUCAUUAUUGGAUUUUGAAACUUCAGGCUGCUGCUGGCUCUCCUCGGAGGGCAUGUGCACGCUUGUUGUCCAUUAUUUCUCCCACUGUGCACAAAUUGUAGACCUUUCAGUAGGCCUAUGUUGUUUUUCACAAUCUCUGAAUGUAAUAGAAUGGUUUUGAAUCUUGGGAAAUACAAUACAACUUUCAGCAACGGAUCUCUUGGCUCUCGCAUCGAUAAGAACGCAGC